rnacentral:misc_RNA from 1 species
UCAAACCUCCUAAGCCCUGCUUGGGGUAUUGGGUUUUCGUCUCUCCCCCCUAUAUAGGUGGUGGGCGUACCUGAAAAUUAGGGAUGGUGCCUCAACAAGACUCAAGUGAAGCAGACUUUCUCGCUUUGGAGCACUUUUGUGGUACUGUCAACAAAAUAAUUGAACAA